rnacentral:misc_RNA from 1 species
AGUCAUCAACCCCGAACGUUUCUUGCGGAGCGUGCGGCGGUUGGAUCUGGGGGCUCUGCCGAUCGUGCGCGAGCCGGCUCCCCUCAAAUGCUUCGGUUGGGCCUGUGGGUCGAACUCGACUGGGCGUUGUACCAUCCUCGCUCGAACGAGAGGGACCCCUCUUGCGCCCUUCCUCGACCAGCCCCUCUGACGGGGCGGUCAAUCAAGCUUUGAA